CAAUGCCACAGAGCUGCCCGCUGAACAGGCUUUGUUUUUCAGUCAUUGGAGUGGAAGAUAGCAGAGACUUGAUCAAGAAAUACAGACAAGAAUCUAAGCGUCUCAAUGGCCAUUGA
rnacentral:lncRNA from 1 species